rnacentral:rRNA from 1 species
UACGGAGGGUGCAAGCGUUGUCCGGCUUUAUUGGGUUUAAAGGGUGCGUAGGUGGGCAGUUAAGUCAGUGGUGAAAUCUCAGGGCUCAACCCGGAAACUGCCAUUGAUACUAUCUGUCUUGAAUAUCGUGGAGGUAAGCGGAAUAUGUCAUGUAGCGGUGAAAUGCUUAGAUAUGACAUAGAACACCAAUGGCGAAGGCAGCUGACUGCCCGAAUAUUGACACUGAGGCACGAAAGCGUGGGGAGCAAACAGG